rnacentral:rRNA from 1 species
GGGGAAUAUUGGACAAUGGGCGAAAGCCUGAUCCAGCCAUGCCGCGUGAGUGAUGAAGGCCCUAGGGUUGUAAAGCUCUUUCACCGGUGAAGAUAAUGACGGUAACCGGAGAAGAAGCCCCGGCUAACUUCGUGCCAGCAGCCGCGGUAAUACGAAGGGGGCUAGCGUUGUUCGGAAUUACUGGGCGUAAAGCGCACGUAGGCGGAUUGUUAAGUGAGGGGUGAAAUCCCAGGGCUCAACCCUGGAACUGCCUUUCAUACUGGCAAUCUCGAGUCCGAGAGAGGUGAGUGGAAUUCCGAGUGUAGAGGUGAAAUUCGUAGAUAUUCGGAGGAACACCAGUGGCGAAGGCGGCUCACUGGCUCGGUACUGACGCUGAGGGGCGAAAGCGUGGGGAGCAAAC